UCGAACGGCAGCGCGGGGCAACCUGGCGGCGAGUGGCGAACGGGUGAGUAAUAUAUCGGAACGUACCCUGGAGUGGGGGAUAACGUAGCGAAAGUUACGCUAAUACCGCAUACGAUCUAAGGAUGAAAGCAGGGGACCGCAAGGCCUUGUGCUCCUGGAGCGGCCGAUAUCUGAUUAGCUAGUUGGUAGGGUAAAAGCCUACCAAGGCAUCGAUCAGUAGCUGGUCUGAGAGGACGACCAGCCACACUGGAACUGAGACACGGUCCAGNCNNNUACGGGAGGCNNNAGUGGGGAAUNNNG
rnacentral:rRNA from 1 species